GUGGGGAAUAUUGGACAAUGGGCGAAAGCCUGAUCCAGCGACGCCGCGUGGGUGAAGAAGGCCUGCGGGUUGUAAAGCCCUUUCGGUAGGGACGAAAGCCUCCGACCUAACACGUCGGGGGGUUGACUUAACCUACAGAAGAAGCACCGGCUAACUCUGUGCCAGCAGCCGCGGUAAUACAGAGGGUGCGAGCGUUAAUCGGAAUUACUGGGCGUAAAGCGCACGUAGGCGGCUUGGUAUGUCGGGUGUGAAAUCCCCGGGCUCAACCUGGGAACUGCAUCCGAAACUACCUUGCUAGAGUAUGGGAGAGGGAAGCGGAAUUUCCGGUGUAGCGGUGAAAUGCGUAGAUAUCGGAAGGAACAUCAGUGGCGAAGGCGGCUUCCUGGACCAAUACUGACGCUCAGGUGCGAAAGCGUGGGGAGCAAACAGGAUUAGAAACCCCUGUAGUCC
rnacentral:rRNA from 1 species